rnacentral:lncRNA from 10 species
AUUUUCUAUAAGGAUUUACUUAUUUAUUUUUGUUUUUACUUUUACAGCAAUAUAAAAGGACAUUGGAAGCAUUCUGAAUCCUCAAGAUGAGCACUUUGCAAAGUCAGAAAGUUAAAGUCCCAAUGCCUCUUGAAAAUUACUUUUGGAGCCAAGACAAGCCGUGCCAUCAGAUGCCGUUCUCAGGUAAUUCAGUGUAAUUGUCUGUGAUAUGUGAAUCUAACGAGCAUCUUCAUAGAACUUCCAAAGCUGUUAACAUAUAACUUUUUAAAAGUUCAAAGCAUGACUAUUAUAUAAACAGAAAACACAUGUGUCAAAUUUUAUUUAUUGUAUUCAUCAGUGACAGAACCAGUAGGUUAUUAAAACUAUGUCAAAAGAUAAUUCAAUGAACAGAGAUUUAUUUCAUCAAAGAAUUCACAAAAGCUUGUUAAUAAAAAUUAGUAAAAAUUUUAAAUGUCUGAUAACCCUUUAAACUGAAAUCCUAAAAUCUCUGAGCUUAUCUUUUCGACUUGACAAAAACCUGUGAGUUAACAUUUAAUUUCACAGUUUCAGGGCCCUAAUAAAAUAGUAAAUAGGAAAGUAAAAUACAGGUGCAUCCUCCUAGAUAAUUCAAUAA